GUCACUUCUCUGUGAUAUACCUAAGAGGAAAAAACUGUUAUCUGUUCUUACCAGUUUAAUAUCUGAUAUGUCCUCUAUCCAAGGACAGUAUAUUAAAUGGAUUCUUUGGAAACAGGAGGUGGAAUAGGAACUUGCUUUGUCUGCUCCGUGGAUCAACCUGCUCUUGCAGUACCUCCAGGAACAGAGCACCCUCC
rnacentral:snRNA from 1 species